CGGAUUGCAGGCUGCAACUCGCCUGUAUGAAGUCGGAAUUGCUAGUAAUCGCGGAUCAGCAUGCCGCGGUGAAUACGUUCCCGGGCCUUGUACACACCGCCCGUCACACCAUGAGAGCCGGGAACACCCGAAGUCCGUAGUCUAACCGCAAGGAGGACGCGGCCGAAGGUGGGUUUGGUAAUUGGGGUGAAGUCGUAACAAGGUAUC
rnacentral:rRNA from 1 species